rnacentral:rRNA from 1 species
UCCGGUUGAUCCUGCCGGACCCCACCGCUAUCAGGUGGGACUAAGCCAUGCUAGCUGAGCGUCUCGAGCUAUGGUGGGACGCAACGUACGGCUCAGUAACACGUAGUUAACCUGCCCUUAGGACGGGGACAACCCCGGGAAACUGGGGCUAAUCCCCGAUAGGUGAGGACACUUGGAAUGGUUCCUCGCCGAAAAGGCGUCGAGAGCACGCUUCCCGACCUCGCCUGAGGAUGAGACUGCGGCCGAUCAGGUUGUUGGUGAGGUAACGGCUCACCAAGCCUAUAACCGGUACGGGCUGCGAAAGCAGGAGCCCGGAGAUGGGCACUGAGACAAGGGCCCAGGCCCUACGGGGCGCAGCAGGCGCGAAACCUCCACAAUGCGCGAAAGCGUGUGGGGCUAUCCCGAGUGCCGUUCGCUGAGGACGGCUUUUCUCCGAUGUAAGGAAGCGGAGGCAAUAAGGGGAGGGCAAGAAUGGUGUCAGCCGCCGCGGUAAUACCAACUCCCUGAGUGGUGGGGAUGAUUAUUGGGCUUAAAGCGUUCGUAGCCGGCUUGAUUAGCCCCGCGUCAAAUCCAGCGACCUAAUCGUUGGGCUGCGGGGGAUACGAUCGGGCUUGGGAGCGGGAGAGGUUAGCGGUAUUCCCGGGGUAGGGGUAAAAUCCUAUAAUCCCGGGAGGACCACCAGUGGCGAAGGCGGCUAACCAGAACGCGUCCAACGGUGAUGGACGAAAGCUGGGGGAGCGAACCGGAUUAGAUACCCGAGUAGUCCCAGCUGUAAACGAUGCGGGCUAGCUGUUGAGGUGGCCACGAGCCAUCUCAGUGGCGCAGGGAAACCAUUAAGCCUGCCGCCUGGGAAGUACGAUCGCAAGAUUGAAACUUAAAGGAAUUGGCGGGGGAGCACCACAAGGGGUGAAGCUUGCGGUUUAAUUGGAGUCAACGCCGGAAAUCUUACCGGGGCUGACAGCAGGGUGAAGGCCAGAUUGAAGGUCUUGCCAGACAAGCUGAGAGGUAGUGCAUGGCGGUCUUCAGUUCGUGCCGUGAGGUGUCCUGUUAAGUCAGGUAACGAUCGAGACCCGCACCCUUAGUUGCCACCGAAUCCCAUCGGGAUUUGAGCACUAUAGGGGGACCGCCGCUCAUAAAAGUGGAGGAAGGAGCGGUCAAAGGCACGUCAGUAUGCUCCGAAUGCCCCGGGCCACACGCGAGCUGCAAUGGUGGGGAUAAUGAGUUGCAACCCUGAGAGGGGGAGCCAAUCUCUAAACCCUGUCGUAGUUGGGAUCGAGGGCUGUAAUUCGCCCUCGUGAACGUGGAAUCCCUAGUAAUCGCGCGUCAUCAUCGCACGGUGAAUACGUCCCCGCUCCUUGCACACACCGCCCGUC